ACAAUAAACUCACUGUGGGAUAAAGUUCCCAACAAGAAAAUAGCAAAUCUCCACAUUUUCGAAAUUUUGGAGGACUGAAUAGCAAAAGUGGUAAAAGUGGACAAGCAAUAAAUAAGAAACCAGCUACGAUACUACCAUACCAAAGAGCACAGUAUAACGUACCACGCAACAGUCCACGCAUUACAGCCUGCUUCUCUACAACCUUAUAACAAGGGCUUCACUGUACCACCCUUAACACCCUCUCUUCUUUACCCAGUAUGAACUGAGUUCUGGGAUGCUGCUGGACCAUUAUUGAUCUACUAAAUACAGGGCUACAAUCCUCAAAGAAUAACUUAUGAUAUGCUAUUCUGGUAUUAAUAAAUAAUUCAACAAUUAUCGAAUAUAAAUUAAUAGGAAAUUAUUAAAAAGCACAAUCUGUAUAAUUAUGCAAAAUAUAGUAGUGUAGUACAAUUAUCAUUAAAUAUAUUUUUUAAAAUUCCCUAUAAAUUCAUCUAAUUUUCAAUGUAGAUUAAGAAAUUUGUAAAAGUAUAUUUGGGCAUUUGUAUUUAUUAUAAAUCUAUUUAAAUUAAGGAAAAAAUAUUCAGAAAUAUAUAAGAUAAUAUAAGAGAUUAAAUUAUACCGUUCAAGAAAAAAUUAUUACUUUAUAUAAACCAAAUAUAAUAUAUGUAUAAGUGUGUAUGAGCGGAAACAAAUAUUGUAACCAAAUCCAUUUAUUGGGCCAAUAGGCUAUAAAUUAAAUAAAUAUCUACUAU